rnacentral:rRNA from 1 species
AGGACAAUGUGGUGUUGAGGCGUGCACCUGGGGCACGCGUGCCCACCCGAAGUCCAACUCCGAUUGUGGCUUGGAUUUUGCCCAGAGCGGGUGUAAGGCCCGUACGGGUGGGCGGUUGAUCGCGAGCGCGGCCCUCAGAUGUGCAUGCUUUCGAGUCGGAUUGCUUGAGAAUGCAGUCCAAAGUGGGUGGUAAACUCCAUCCAAGGCUAAAUACUGGCACGAGUCCGAUAGUAGACAAGUACCGUGAGGGAAAGUUGAAAAGUACUCUGAAGAGAGAGUAAAUAGUACGUGAAACCGAUUGCAGGGAAGCUGGUGGAGUCAAGCUUCAUGCUUGGAGAAUUCUCGCUCGGGGCUUUGCUGUGUUUUGGGCAUGGUACCGGUUAGCUUGGAAAGAGUUGGGCACACUCGUGUGCUUCAAGUCGGCCCGGGCGUGGUUGAUUGAGCCGGUGCUAAUGCUCUGUCCUGAGCGAUCUAUUCUCCGCGGCAUAGAUCACGGUCGAUAGUGUUUUGUGAAACGUGCUGUCCGACUGUCUAACUGUGCUUUGGUGGGCCCUUGGCUUGCCGGGUGCAGGAUGGCAGGUGGCGGUUGUGGGCCUCGUGCUCUCGACUGCUCAAGCUGGUCUCGACCGGCUGAUGGUCGGACAGUGUCGUCGCUAUCGCAGAUGUGUGGUGUGCAGUCCUCGGACCGCGCACCGCUCAGAACCGUGAUUCUGAGGUAGACUUUCC